rnacentral:lncRNA from 1 species
AACUGGAAAACUGGAACUGUGAUGAACUGGAACAGUUACUGGCUUUGGACUGGAGAAAUGCCUUUGCUGUGUGUAAGCCAAGGCCCUUAGCAGAUGGCAACUCUUCAGCUGGCAUGGAUUAGGAUAGGGUGUUUCCUUGAAUAGACUAUAGCCUGGGGGAGCUGCUGGAUUAAGAUCCCUGUGAUUAAACCUGGUCUAUCAGCUCAUUAUUGCAUCUCCUGGCACCACUGAGCAAAUGGGCUGACACAGCACAGCUCCCUGCUGACCUCCCAGCAACGGCUGAUUGACUUUGCAAGGAUUUUUCAUUUCAGAAACAUUUGCAAUUUCCUGAAAUGACUCCAAAGAAUCACAUCAUUUUAUUUCAUAUUCGUGUUUGCUUGCAUCAGUUAUUUUGGGGGUAGGAAAGGAGGGGAUGAAAUUGUUUUAUAUAAAUAAGUUGAAUGUAUUUCAUAGCAAGCAAUGUUCUGACCCUGGCACUAUUGCCUUUCUACCCUUCUAUAUUGAAAUUCAUUGUGCUUGGAUAUCUCUGGUUUCCCAGAAUCCCACUGUUUCAUUUGUUUUGCUAUGCAGAAGUAUCAUUAUAGCUCACUUUAUGCCUUUUGUUAAGAAUUAGCACUCCUGAGAAUCAAAAAUGAAGAUGUGAAUGUUCACACAAUUAAAUAAUUGCAGGUAUUAACAAUGAGUUGUCCACCCACAGGCUCAGCAGGUGCUGGAGCAAUCGGCUGGGAAAUGGAGUAUUUCUGGACCUGGGCAUGUGUUCCCAGAAACCUGGUAAUUGAGGCAACAUGGAUUUUGGAAUGCAGAACAUCAGAACUACCAAACAUGCCCUGGAACAGAGAAUCACUACGCCUGCCCUGUUCUCCAGAAGGAUCUCCAAAGACAUGUAUUCCUAAUUUCGCUUCAGUAAGGUGUUCUGUUAUCCCCUUCUCCAGGCAGCUUCUCCUGACCCAGACUACAGCAGGGAGCAGCCUAGACAAAGUGGCUCUGCUGAAAAGCUGUCACCACAGAUCAUCAUUGACUUCAGCAGAAGGAUGGUUUUUCCCCCUUUGUCAUUUCCAUAAUGGGAUUAUGAAGAUGCACAGAGUUGCAGUGUUCCAGGAGACCAGAUAGCUGGACUAGAGUCAGGGCCCUCCACGGGGUUCUUCACCUGUUUUACAGAGAAAAGGUCCCUUAUGACAAAAAGUCUUUAUCUGUCAAACAAAAAAACCUGGCAUAGGAACUGAUGAACUGAUGAAGGAUGCUUCUCUGAGAUGGCCAGCUCCCCCCAGGAAUGAAGGUGUAAGUCAGCCUUCUUUCCCCAGAGUCACAUCAGCAGAUCAGCUGAGAGCAGCACGUCACUUCAGUGCUCUGCAUGGGACAAACCCUUUUCCCUUUGCUCCCUCACCGCAGCACAGCUCAAGGCCCACAUGUCCCCAGGGCCACUGCCCUUUUACUUUCAGUAAUGCUACUUUGACCUCUUCUCAAGGCUGUGCUAAACUCUGGGGUUAUAUAGGACUGCCUGUUUUGGGGACACAGUGCAGAAAUCAUGUGUUCUGAGUUCCAGGAAUACCAUCGCAGAGACAAGCGACAUGGCUAACUCAGAGAUGUGAGGUGGCAUAUUUGUUCAACUGAGCUUUUGAGGGAAAAGCAGCCACUACAGUGUAUGUCUGACAUUCUUGGACUGUCUAGAUCUACCCUGUACCAGAGAGGUCAGCAUCAACUACAGGAUAAAAUGGUCUACUUAGGACAGAAAACCUGCACCUAUAAGACACCAACAGGACAGAACAACAGGGCCCAGUGGCCAAGCUCACUACAACUCUUAUCCAGAUUUAGAAGAACAGGGCACAAUUUCUGGUCCCUCUGAAAGCAAUGGAAAGGCAUCUCUUGUCCCACAACACACGUGUGCUACAUUUCACACUGGGGGAUGAGUUAUCUCAGCAAAAAUGAUACUGGCAUUGCCAGUUCCAUGCCACCAGCCUUUCAGAAGUGCCUCUUUGCUAUUGGUAGUCAUUGCACUUGGUCUGAACGUGGCAGAUGCCUCAGAGGAACUUUAUCUGCAUCCUACUGGUGUUGUCUCAGGAUUUCAGUGUGAUCAAGUUUUAUUAAAGUAGCAUCUCCUGCAUUUUUUUCCCUAAAUGUUUUACUACCCAAAGUAAUAAACAUAGAUGGAUGUUCUGGACUCUCUCA